UAAUACGUAGGGAGCAAGCGUUACUCGGAAUUACUGGGCAUAAAGGGGGCGUAGGCGGGUGCGCAAGUCUGAUGUGAAAGCCCUCGGCUCACCCGGGGAAUGGCAUGGGAAACUGCGUGCCUGGAGUGCGGGAGGGGAGAGCGGAACUCGUGGUGGAGCGGUGAAAUGCGUAGAUAUCACGAGGAACGCCGGCGGCGAAAGCGGCUCUCUGGCCCGUCACUGACGCUGAGGCCCGAAAGCCAGGGGAGCGAACGGGAUUAGAUACCCCGGUAGUCCUGGCCCUAAACGAUGAGCACUAAGUAGUGGCGGUUCCGAAACUGUCUCUGCUGUAGCUAAUGUGCUAAGUGCUCCGCCUGGGGAGUACGGUCGCAAGGCUG
rnacentral:rRNA from 1 species